rnacentral:tRNA from 1 species
GGGUUUGUGGCUCAGUGGUAGAGCAUUUGCCUAGCAUAUAUGAGGUACUGGGUUCAAUCCCCAGCACCA